CAGUAGCCACGGUAACACGGAGGGUGCAAGCGUUAAUCGGAUUUACUGGGCGUAAAGGGCGCGUAGGUGGUUAUUUAAGUGAGAUGUGAAAGCCCCGGGCUUAACCUGGGAACUGCAUCUUAUACUGGGUAACUGGAGUGCAGUAGAGGGUAGUGGAAUUUCCGGUGUAGCGGUGAAAUGCGUAGAUAUCGGAAGGAACACCAGUGGCGAAGGCGGCUACCUGGACUGAGACUGACACCGAGGCGCGAGAGCGUGGGGAGCAAACAGGAUUAGAGACCCCAGUAGUCCCUGUCUCUUAUAC
rnacentral:rRNA from 1 species